AAAUUACAGACCUUUACCACCAGCUUCGUGAAUUGAUCCUUCAAGGACUGGACAUUGAGGACUAGAUUCACCAUACUAAAUUAAUAAACAUCACUAUAAGCUGUGUUGAAUUGCAGCCUUUCACCAAGUUACUCUUCCUACCCCAGCAACCUUGGACCACUGGAGGGAACAUCGCAGCGGCACAUGCUCUUCUGUUUGAAGAGGUCACAACCAUUCAUGAGGCAACAGAGAGUAUUGACGGCUUGAGUGGUGCUGCCAGCAUGCUGUCAAAUUGAGAUCUCGUUAUCUGCUUAUUUUCAGAGUUAUAACAUGACAAAAGCACAACUAUCAGAAUAAGAGGCAUCUAGAUGUAAUUAAAACACUUUUAAACAAUUGUAAAAUGUUUGCCUUAUUUUUAGAUUUUUUAUGUUUUUCCAUCUACAGAAAUGUUCAUUCUUUGUAUGAUUUUGCACGUGUUUGCGAUACAUUAUACUGUCAAUUCUUCAAGGCCUAACUUGAAUACAAAUGAAGCACAGCAAGCCUUUUUAGAUGUACAAGACAAUGUUUUGAACCUCAAAACUAAUGUAUUUAUGGCUUG